rnacentral:tRNA from 1 species
UACACUUUGGUGUAUGAUGCACAUAAGUUUUUGAUGUUUAUAGAGGUAGUUUAAGUCUACUAAGUGUAG